UACGAAGGGGGCUAGCGUUGCUCGGAAUCACUGGGCGUAAAGGGUGCGUAGGCGGGUCUUUAAGUCAGGGGUGAAAUCCUGGAGCUCAACUCCAGAACUGCCUUUGAUACUGAAGAUCUUGAGUUCGGGAGAGGUGAGUGGAACUGUGAGUGUAGAGGUGAAAUUCGUAGAUAUUCGCAAGAACACCAGUGGCGAAGGCGGCUCACUGGCCCGAUACUGACGCUGAGGCACGAAAGCGUGGGGAGCAAACAGG
rnacentral:rRNA from 1 species